rnacentral:misc_RNA from 1 species
AGGAAGGUCUAGUGGUACAGGUCAGGGAAGAAAAGGGAAGUCUCCUAAGAAAAAUAUCUGAACUGGAGAGUGCAUUAGCGGAGAAAGUGGAAGAGCAUGAAACCUUGCAAAAGAAGCUAGAGGAAGUGCAAAAUGAAGCUUCUACUCAGAUUGCUGCCUUGACUGAAGAAGUUGAUAAGUUAAGGCAGCAAACAGAAUUGCUGCAAACUGAGAAAAGCCAGAUGGAGUUGGUAAUUGAGACAGGAAAACAAGAAUUCACAGAAAGUUUGGCACAAGCAGAAAAUCAGAACACCGAAUUAUCACAAAAGCUUGUGGAUCAGGAAAUAAGGCUGAAAGAGAGGGAGGAAGCAUUCGGGAAGUUGGUGGAAGAGAAGGACAGUUUAGUGAUACAGGUCAAUGAUCUCCAGGCUG